rnacentral:rRNA from 1 species
GACGAACGCUGGCGGCGUGCUUAACACAUGCAAGUCGAACGGAAAGGCCCUGCUUGCAGGGUACUCGAGUGGCGAACGGGUGAGUAACACGUGGGUGAUCUGCCCUGCACUUCGGGAUAAGCCUGGGAAACUGGGUCUAAUACCGGAUAGGAGCCAUUUUUAGUGUGAUGGUUGGAAAGUUUUUUCGGUGUAGGAUGAGCUCGCGGCCUAUCAGCUUGUUGGUGGGGUAAUGGCCUACCAAGGCGGCGACGGGUAGCUGGCCUGAGAGGGUGGACGGCCACAUUGGGACUGAGAUGCGGCCCAGACUCCGACGGGAGGCAGAAGUGGGGAAGAUUGCACAAUGGGCGCAAGCCUGAUGCAGCGACGCCGCGUGGGGGAUGACGGCCUUCGGGUUGUAAACUCCUUGCGCUAGGGACGAAGCUUUUUGUGACGGUACCUAGAUAAGAAGCACCGGCUAACUACGUG